UAAACUCCCUCUCCCUUUCCCUCCCUCUCUCUCUCUCUCUCUCUCUCCCUCGUUUCUCCCAUUUGCCCUCUCCUCAUGUCGAAUAACCAAAUUGUGGAGCUCAGAUUCUUUAGCUCUGAGCAAAAAAAAUUCACUUACCACGAAUGGCCGUCGAUCUAUCUCUGUUAGGUUUUCCAGUCCUUCAAUUCCAGUCAAAAUUUAGUUGUGUGUGGGUGUAAAUUCCAUUUAGGGAUUUGAGGAGGAGUUGUUGGAGAAGGAGGUGACGAAGGCGGCGGAGUCGCUGUCGUCUCGCACACUUAACCCACGAACCCAACACACCCAUUUAUCCAGAACGCACUCAACUCCUCCGUCGUCCAUUCUAAGACCGGUGUGUCGUUUCUGUCAGUCUUGGCUGGGACUCGGCGAUUUCUGGGAUUUGGGUUGAUUCCUCUCUUAUGGCAGUCCCUCAUUCUUAAGGUUUUGUUUGCCCAGUGCUUUGUCCUUGAGGGCAUGAUAUCUGAUCCAGCAAAACAAGGAAAUACAGUCCUGAUUCCUGAACCAUGUCCUUCCAGCUUCACAAUUGGCAAAUGGUAAUGGGAUCCAGCAAAACAAGGAAACACACUCCUGAACACUGCUGUUUAUGCAUAUGGGUCUCUCCGUUGGACUACUAAGACAAGCUACAUAUACCAUAGCUCAUCUUGGAUCAUUCAGGUUGAUGUUUUCACCAACUCUUCCGGAGCAUGUGCUGCUUUUAUUUCUAAUAUGGACGACAAUAAUGACAAAAGAGUAGUAUUUCGUUAUGUGUCAUAUCAUCUACCAGCAUGGUCAGUUAGCAUACUGGCUGACUACAAGACUGCAGUAUUUAACAUAGCAAAGUUGAGAUGGCAUCUGAAACUAAAGGCAUGAAAGGUCUUAAGUGGGAGGUAUUUGUGGAGAAAGCUGGGAUCUGGGGUGAAGCUGACUUUGGAUUUGUAGAUCACAUCAAUACCACAAAAGUUACCACUACCUGUGGUAUACAACUAAGCAUAUUUGUUGAUGAAAAUGAAGAGUUCUUAAAGAAAGGAAGCUCACCAGUACUUCUAAUUGAAUCAAAAGGCCAUGCUCUCCAUGCUUUUGUCAAUGAUGAACUUCAAGAAAAUGUGGUUUCUAUAUUGAGCAGAGGAAGAUGAAAUCGGAUCGGAAAGAGGUAAGUAACCUAAACGCUGAUACCAUGUAGAAAAUGUGGUUUCUAUAUUGAUUCAAUCGAAUUACAGUGUGCAAUUAUAUAGCUAAGGUAAUUUGAUUGUUAUGCUACUGUUACAAUAAGUUAUAAACAGUAUUCAAUGGUAUAAAUAUAAAGAAUCAAAACUGAUGUUCAGCUUUGAUUUCAUGGAUCUUCAGUUACACAAAUCUCUCUAACAUUUUGAGACAUGCGUUUCCAGCUAGCAUGUAUAUACAUAUUAUAGCUGGCUCUUUAGCAGUCAAUUCUUUAUCUUUUUUGCCCUAAUGCUACAUUUUUAAUGACUUGGUGCUCGUUUCUUUGUACUCUUAAAAUGCUGGAUGAUGAACUUCAAGGUUAUUUUCUUAUUUAAAAGAGUUAUGGUUUAGUAUUUCAUUUCUUGGUUAUGUUCGGUUGAGUAUUCAUAUGGCAAAUUUAUGCAGAUUUACUUCUGUGUAAAUUUUCUUCUUCAACACUGCUAGAUAUAAGCUUAUGUCCCCAAGUUAACUUGUGGCUAUUUUUGAGACAUGCGUUUCCUGGCAUGUAUAUACAUAUUAUAGCUGGAUCUUUAGCAGUCAAUUCUUUAUCUUUUUUGCCCUAAUGCUACAUUUUCAAUGACUUAAUGCUCGUUUCUUUGUACUCUUAGAAUGCUGGUUCAUUUUAUUUGUGGGUAGGGGCAGGAUUAACUAGUACAGUUGAUUUGUCUGCACAUAAUUGUACCUACAAGUGAACUUUAACUCGAAACUUUCAUUUUGAAUGCUGGAGCUGCCUCUAAUGAACCCUGAGCUCUUCCUUACAGUGGGCAUCAAACCACCCAAGGCAUGUUUUAUAUAGUAUUGCUGACUUCAUACUAUUAGUGACAUAUUAUUAAUUCUGAUUUGAAAUGUUUCAAACCACUCAGGGCAUCAAACCACCCUGGGCGUGUUUCAUACUAUUGCUGAUUUGAAAUUUAACAUUAUAACCUAUUGUUAUUGAUUUUGCUUUCUCAAUUCUUUAUGUAUAGGUGUAACUACCAUUUACUUCUAUGUUCCCAAUUCUUAGAAAGGAAUAACUUGAGGAUUCUUGUGGUCUUUGAUAAUAUUAUACGGCUAUUAGGUACAUAACACAUUCUAGCAGUUAUCUAAUUGUAUGUUUUCUGGGUUGUUUAUUUAGGAUAUUAUUUGGCAAGGAGAUAUAAGUGGAGUUAAUGCAGUGCUGCAGUUAUUCAUGGUUGAUAUCCAAUCAGAAGAUUAGUAUUCAUUAAUUUAUUUUUUCUAGUUCAUUUUGUAGUCACUUCAGAGAAGAUUAUAGAGUAUUCAUUAAGUUAUUUUUUUUCUAGUUCAUUUUGUAGUCACUGCGGACUUAUUUUGUAUGUAUAUUAAUGUAUUUUAGUGAGUAAUA